rnacentral:lncRNA from 1 species
UGCUUACUUCCUGGAAUUACUUGCAUACAUAUACAGUAUAGUAAUUCCAGGGAGUAAGCAUUCUCUGGAAAGUACAUUAUUCUGUGUUUAACAGGAAUAAUAUAUAUAUUAUUCUUGUUAACACAGAGAAUGAUGCGCUUUCCAGAGAAUGCUUACUCCCUGGAAUUAUUUGAUAAGUAUUCACAUUCAAAAUGUGAGGAGAAAAUACUACUGCCCAAAAUAAUCAACUCUUUAUUUUCUGUCAGUCCAAAACAAUUACUCCCUUCAGGGGGUACACUUUGGUUUGAGAAUGAAGGCCAAUGAAAAUGCCUGAUGACUUAAUUUCAGGUGAGUUUGAAAUUAAAAAAAGAACUACGGGCAAAAUGCAUGCAUUCCAAUGGCUUUUAGCUAUUAAGGCACUACAUUUGUACACUCCGUCUUCUGUGAGGAGAAGAUGAGGGGACCUUUUAUUUCCCUCUUUCCUCGGUUUUCAGUCCUCACAACCGUCCUCGGAGGCAGGCCCAAAGACACUCGUCCAGUUUCACGACCAGUCUUGGGAGGCGGCGCGAAACGAAGCCACCAUUUGAGGGUCGUGACUGAGGGAGGAUUUGAACCCGAGACCCGGCCAAGGCCAGGGGCGGAGGCGACAGGUUUAGCCCAGCUGAGAGGGUUAGAAGGCCGUCUGCCUGCCUCUCUGGCUCCUCAGCGGAGAGUCCCCCGUCUCGGCGGAAAGGGGAAGCGGGCGCUCGACGCCACCGGGCAGGCAAAGCAAAGAAGCGAGCGCUCAGGAACGGGCGCCCCUUCCGGCACCGCCCGCCUGCCCCGUCGGUUGCGGCGCCGGCGGCAGCAGCAGCAGCAGCAGCUCGGUCUUCCCCUCAGAGGCGACCAUGGUGGAGCUGAACCGAGCCUUCCCGCGCACCCUGAGGGGAGCCUUAAAGAUAGCGCGCAUGGUCUUUGCUUUCAUGGCAGCCAUCACUUUCGGAGUUGGAGGAAUCCAUGA